CACCUCCAGCAUCCCUAGUAUUGGAGGCACUGCCUGCCCAGUGACUAAACGUUAAACGGCCGCGGUAUUCUGACCGUGCAAAGGUAGCAUAAUCAUUUGUUCUCUAAAUAAGGACUUGUAUGAAUGGCCACACGAGGGUUUUACUGUCUCUUACUUCCAAUCAGUGAAAUUGACCUCCCCGUGAAGAGGCGGGGAUAAAUCAACAAGGCGAGAAGACCCUAUGGAGCUUUAACUAAGUAACUCAAGGAAAAUAAAUUCAACCACCAAGGGAUAACAACACUCCUUAUGAGUUAACAGUUUCGGUUGGGGUGACCUCGGAGAACAGAAAAUCCUCCGAGCGAUUUUAAAGACUAGACUAACAAGUCAAACCAAACCAUCGCUUAUUGAUCCAAAAACUUGAUCAACGGAACAAGUUACCCUAGGGAUAACAGCGCAAUCCUAUUCAAGAGUCCAUAUCGACAAUAGGGUUUACGACCUCGAUGUUGGAUCAGGACAUCCCGAUGGUGCAACCGCUAUCAAAGGUUCGUUUGUUCAACGAUUAAAGUCCU
rnacentral:rRNA from 1 species